rnacentral:lncRNA from 1 species
CUUUUUUUUCCAGAAACACAAGACCUUUGAUUCUUUUCAGAAUGAGGUUUUGCAAAGUGAGCUGACUGAAAAGGCUUGAGAAAAGCACAGUCAAGAAAAUGCAAGGCAAACAUGAAACCCCCGGCUUACUGAGAGAGGAGGGUCUCCUGUAGGCUCUAUCUAGCAAGAUCUGAACCUCCAGGUGAAGUUUCCUGGUAUGGAAUACCGGGGUUAUGAUCAGCAGUGGAGAAAAGUCUUCAAUCUAUUUGGAUUGGAUUAUUGCAUAUAGUGCAAGGUCAUACCUGCUGUUCUCAAACCUGCUGUCAUUUCUCCGUGAGGAAUUCUCCUUGACAAGUAUUUUGGCCCCUUGCCCUGGCCUGCUGCCAGCCUUCUGCUUAUUUCCUGGGACCUGCCGUGUGAUGUAUUGUUUCCAGCCCCAGCAUUGUUUAAU